GGCCGGUGAUGCUAUCAAAUAUUUGCUACUCUUGAUGGGAAUACCCAUCUGAUGAUACAUUUCCACCAAGAUCUCUGAGGCC
rfam:Ipomoea nil DNA, scaffold: scaffold2144, cultivar: Tokyo-kokei standard.